GAUGAACGCUGGCGGCGUGCUUGAUACAUGCAAGUCGAACGGAGAGUGUAGCAAUAUACUUUUAGUGGCGAACGGGUGAGUAACGCGUUGGUGACCUGCCCCGAAGCGAGGGAUAACAGUUCGAAAGAACUGCUAAUACCUCAUGUGAUCACCGGUUUUAGAAUCUGGUGAUUAAAGGUGAAAAUCACUUCGGGAGGGGCCUGCGUCCCAUCAGCUAGUUGGUAAGGUAAUGGCUUACCAAGGCGAUGACGGGUAGGGGACCUGAGAGGGUGGCCCCCCACAAUGGAACUGAAACACGGUCCAUACACCUACGGGUGGCAGCAGUAGGGAAUAUUGCAAAUGGGCGAAAGCCUGAUGUAGCAACGCCGCGUGUGCGAUGAAGGUCUUCGGAUUGUAAAGCACUUUUUGGAGGGAUGAGGAAGGACAGUACCUCCAGAAUAAGCCUCGGCUAACUACGUG
rnacentral:rRNA from 1 species